UGCCUUUAUGUUGCCCAUUCAUUACUUUCACCAGUGAAUGUGGUGUCAGAAAAGGCAUAUACAGGU